GUUUUGGAAAUGCAUUGAAUGCUCAUGUAAUUUGGAAAUAACCUAAUAACAACAGUAAAAACUUAACACCCAUCACACUAUGGGAGCUGACCAUGCCCCAAGUCAUUACCUUAACCGCAAGGAGGGGGAUACCGAAGGUUGGGCUAGUGACUGGAGUGAAUUCGUAACAAGGUAACUGUACUAGAAGGUGCAGUUGAAUCACCUCCUUU
rfam:Picea glauca, whole genome shotgun sequence.